UACGUAGGGGACGAGCGUUGUCCGGAUUUACUGGGCGUAAAGCGUCCGUAGGCGGCUAGCUGCGUCGGGUGUGAAAGCUCCCCGCUCAACGGGGAGAGGUCAUCCGAUACGGGCUGGCUGGAGGGCAGUAGAGGGGGGACGGAAGUUCCCGGAGUAGUGGUGAUAUGCGUAGAGACCGGGAGGAACACCCGUGGCUAAGGCGGCUCUCUAGUACGGUACUGACGCUGAGACGCGAAAGCGUGGGGAGCGAACGAGG
rnacentral:rRNA from 1 species